UCUUGUUGCCUGAAUUGGUCCUACACUCU
rnacentral:piRNA from 1 species